UGGGGAAUUUUGCACAAUGGGGGAAACCCUGAUGCAGCGACGCCGCGUGAUUUAGAAGGCCUUCGGGUUGUAAAAAUCUUUUCUAUGGGAAGAAAAUGACAGUACCAUAGGAAUAAGGACCGGCUAAUUACGUGCCAGCAGCCGCGGUAAUACGUAAGGUCCGAGCGUUGUCCGGAAUCAUUGGGCGUAAAGGGUACGUAGGCGGGUAAGCAAGUUAGAAGUGAAAUCCUAUAGCUCAACUAUAGUAAGCUUUUAAAACUGCUCAUCUUGAGGUAUGGAAGGGAAAGUGGCAUUCCUAGUGUAGCGGUGAAAUGCGCAGAUAUUAGGAGGAAUACCGGUGGCGAAGGCGACUUUCUGGCCAUAACCUGACGCUGAGGUACGAAAGCGUGGGUAGCAAACAGG
rnacentral:rRNA from 1 species